rfam:Picea glauca, whole genome shotgun sequence.
AUAUGCCUACAUCAUAGAAUUAAUGCAUCGGAUCCCAUUAUAAAUAUGUAUUUAAGCGCACUCAGGCUAGAGUAGUAUUGGGAUGGGUGACCGCUCAGGAAUUCCUAGUGUUUUACAUGCC